rnacentral:lncRNA from 1 species
AUGUCAUCAGGAUUCCUGGUCCAAAUAGGCUUUGUCUUGUUGAGCUCUUCUUGGUCAAUGUACUUCACCUUUUUCUUCUUCUUUUUUCUUCUUGUCGCCAUCCUUCUUUUCCUCCUCUUCUUCAUCAGAACCCAUAUCUUCUAUUUCUGGCUUGUCAUCGGAGUCCAUCUCUUCCUCUUUAUCUUGUUUUUCUUCAGCUUCAUCAUCACUGACUUCCUUAUCGAGUUCCUUCUCCACGAAGAGAGUAAUGGGAUAGCCAAUAAACUGAGAAUGUUUUCUUCACAAUCUCCUUUAUUCUCCUUUCCUCCAAAUACUCUGUUCUUCUUUCAGGUGUAAGAUAAGCUUUGUUCCACGACCCAUUGGUUCACCUGUGUCAGUCCUCACUGUGAAGGAGCCCCUGGCUGAGGACUCCCAGGUGUACUGCUCAUCAUCGUUAUGUUUGGUGAUCACAGUCACUUUCUCGGCAACCAAAUAUGCAGAGUAAAACCCAACACCAAACUGGCCAAUCAUAGAGAUGUCUGCACCAGCCCGCAAAGCCUCAAGAAGGCUUUGGUGCCAGACUUGGCAAUAGUACCAAGGUUAUUGAUCAAGUCGGCCUUGGUCAUUCCAAUUCCAGUAUCCAUGAUAGUAAGGGAUCGAUCUUGUUUGUUGGGAAUAAGAUUAAUGUGCAUCUCCUUCCCAGAGUCUAGCUUACUAGGGUCUGUCAGACUCUCGUACCUGAUCUUAUCCAGAGCAUCUGAUGAAUUGAAGGUUUAUUCUUAACUUUUAUUUGUUUGUUUUGUUUUUGGAGACAGGGUUUCUCUGAAUUGCUUUGGACCCUGUCCUGGAACUUGCCCUGUAGACCAAGCUGGCCUUGAACUCACAGAGAUCUGCCUGCCUCUGUCUCCCGAGUGCUGUGAUGAAAGGCGUGCACCACCUGGCAUGAAGGUUUUAUUUUUUUUCCUUUAAAAUUGUGUGUGUGUGCUAAACACUGAAUUGAGCUCUGGAACUCAAUUGCAGAGAGGGAGGAGUGAAGAGCAAAGAGGUCAAGACCGGGCUGGUGAAACCCACAGAAACAGCUGACCUGAACAAGGAGGAGUGCAUGGACCUUUGACUGAUAUCUGGGAGGCCAGCACGGGACUGAUCCAGACCCCUGAACGUGGAUGUCAAUGAGGAGGCCUCGGCACUCUAUGGGGUCUCUGGUAGUAGAUCAGUAUUUAUCCCUGGCAUAAGAAAGGGCUUUGGGAGCCCAUUCCACAUGUAAGGAUGCUCUCUCAGCCUAGACACAUAGGGGGGAGAGCUUAGGCCCUACCCAGGAUGAUAUGACAGACUUUGGGGGUCCCCCAUGGAGGGCCUUACCCUCCCUGGGGAGAAGAGGGGGGAUGAGAUGGGGGUUGGUGGAGGUGGGGGAGAUGGGAAGGGAAAGAGAGAGGGAGAAGGGAUUGACAUAUGAAGCAGGCUUGUUUCUAAUUUGAACUAAUAAAAAAAUAGUGUGUGUGUGUGUGUGUGUGUGU